rnacentral:rRNA from 1 species
GACGAACGCUGGCGGCGUGCUUAACACAUGCAAGUCGAACGGAAAGGCCCUGCUUUUGUGGGGUGCUCGAGUGGCGAACGGGUGAGUAACACGUGAGUAACCUGCCCUUGACUUUGGGAUAACUUCAGGAAACUGGGGCUAAUAACGGAUAGGAGCUCCUGCUGCAUGGUGGGGGUUGGAAAGUUUCGGCGGUUGGGGAUGGACUCGCGGCUUAUCAGCUUGUUGGUGGGGUAGUGGCUUACCAAGGCUUUGACGGGUAGCCGGCCUGAGAGGGUGACCGGCCCCAUUGGGCCUGGGUACCCGCCGGGACUCACGCGGGAGGAAGAGGGGGGAAAUAUGCAAAAAGGGGUGGAAGCCGGCUGCAACCCCGCCGCGUGCGGAAGGACGCCCUUCGGUUUGUAACCCUCUUUCGCCUGCGACGAAGCGGGAGGCACUGUAAUGGGUAAAGAAGCACCGCCUAACUCCGU